UCCUGUAAAAUUAAGAAAUCACACAAUUUGAUGGUCUACAUUAUCUAAAGCAAAUGAGACUUCUAUUUGGAACAAAGACUACCUUGUUGGGAAAUGAGUCUGCAAGUUAAAGUGUUUUCUGGGAUCACUCUAAGCUCCAGUGUCAAGGAGUCAAGUCCUUCAGGAAUUCUCUGCCUCCACUCCCUGUGGCAGAGCUAGAGUGGCUGCCAUGCUUCUGAGCUCAGCCAGCAUCCAGAGAGAGAGUGAGAUACAGCCUCCUCUUCUUGAAGCACCCACUUCUAAACUCUGUGACAGUUUUCUUGGAACUCUGUUAUGUGGAUCUGGAGAUGACAAUGUCACAGCACUCCCCUCUAAGCCUAAAUUCCCCCACACCGAUGAACUAUUAGGGUGGUCUGCUGCUGAUCAAAUGAAAGUAUUCCCCAGCU
rnacentral:lncRNA from 1 species